GUACCAGACUCCUACGGGAGGCAGCAGUGGGGGAUAUUGGACAAUGGGGGGAACCCUGAUCCAGCGACGCCGCGUGAGUGAAGAAGUAUUUCGGUAUGUAAAGCUCUGUCAGCAGGGAAGAAGAAAGUGACGGUACCUGACCAAGAAGCCCCGGCUAACUACGUGCCAGCAGCCGCGGUAAUACGUAGGGGGCAAGCGUUAUCCGGAAUUACUGGGUGUAAAGGGAGCGUAGACGGUUAUGCAAGUCUGGAGUGAAAGGCGGGGGCUCAACCCCCGGACUGCUCUGGAAACUGUAGAACUAGAGUGCAGGAGGGGUAAGUGGAAUUCCUAGUGUAGCGGUGAAAUGCGUAGAUAUUAGGAGGAACACCAGUGGCGAAGGCGGCUUACUGGACUGUAACUGACGUUGAGGCUCGAAAGCGUGGGGAGCAAACAGGAUUAGAUACCCCCGUACCC
rnacentral:rRNA from 1 species